GUGGGGAAUUUUGGACAAUGGGCGCAAGCCUGAUCCAGCAAUGCCGCGUGCAGGAAGAAGGCCUUCGGGUUGUAAACUGCUUUUGUACGGAACGAAACGGUCCUGGUUAAUACCCGGGGCUAAUGACGGUACCGUAAGAAUAAGCACCGGCUAACUACGUGCCAGCAGCCGCGGUAAUACGUAGGGUGCAAGCGUUAAUCGGAAUUACUGGGCGUAAAGCGUGCGCAGGCGGUGCUGUAAGACAGGCGUGAAAUCCCCGGGCUCAACCUGGGAAUGGCGCUUGUGACUGCAAAGCUGGAGUGCGGCAGAGGGGGAUGGAAUUCCGCGUGUAGCAGUGAAAUGCGUAGAUAUGCGGAGGAACACCGAUGGCGAAGGCAAUCCCCUGGGCCUGCACUGACGCUCAUGCACGAAAGCGUGGGGUGCAAACAGGAUUAGAUACCCGUGUAGUCC
rnacentral:rRNA from 1 species